rnacentral:misc_RNA from 1 species
UUUCCGUAGGUGAACCUGCGGAGGGAUCAUUACAGAGUUCUCGCCCUCGCGGGUAGAUCUUCUACCCACUGUUAUCGCUACUGUGUUGCUUUGGCGGGCUGCCGGGUCCCGCUCGGCCGCUGGUAGCCGUUGGCGCGCCGCCGGCAGAGGCCCUGCCAACACUGACUGUAAUUGUUGCCUGAGUACUUUAUAAUAGUUAAAACAUUCAAUAACGGAUUUCAUCGAUCUGGCUUCGAUGAAGAACGUCGCAGAACGACACAGCACAAGGCUGGACCACAC